rnacentral:rRNA from 1 species
CCUACGGGGGGCUGCAGUGGGGAAUAUUGCACAAUGGGGGAAACCCUGAUGCAGCAACGCCGCGUGAGUGAAGGAGUAUUUCGGUAUGGAAAGCUCUAUCAGUAGGGAAGAAGAAAGACGGUACCUGACUAAGAAGCCCCGGCUAACUACGUGCCAGCAGCCGCGGUAAUACGUAGGGGGCAAGCGUUAUCCGGAUUUACUGGGUGUAAGGGGAUCGUAGACGGGUGUGCACGGCUGAAGUGAAAGCCCGUGGCGCAACCGCGGAACUGCUUUGGAAACUGUAUGGCUUGAGUACGGGAGAGGCAGGCGGAAUGCCUAGUGUAGCGGUGAAAUGCGUAGAUAUUAGGAGGAACACCAGUGGCGAAGGCGGCCUGCUGGACAGAAACUGACGUUGAGGCUCGAAAGCGUGGGGAGCAAACAGGAUUAGAUACCCGUGUAGUC